CGCCUCCCGUGACCCCGUCCCAACCACUCCUUCCUGGUGCCUCACUCCGGCGCUGCACCAGCCGCCGCCGCCGCCUCUGCUGCUCCAUCCUCCGUCUCUUCUGCUGUGCCGCACCGCCGCGGGCUCGUUGCCGCCGCCGACUCUGCUGCGCCAUCCCCCGUCCCUGCUGCUGUGCUGCGCCGCCGACGGCGCCGCCCCUGCUGCGUCGUCUCCAUCCAACCCGAGGAGAGGUCAGGGGAGUUCGUUAGCGGCAGCUCCUCGUGGUGGGUGGAAGGAGGAUGUGGUGAGGUAUUGGCUGCAGAAGCUGCUGUUCGUUUCUCUUCAGUCACCUGUCAUCUGGUUCAUGGCGGAGCAUGAUGGCAAGGGCUGUGAUGCGCCUGGUCAGAUGGAUUUGUACACUUACUCCACUCGUUUCUGGUGCGAAAGGUUGUCUUCUCAUGCUGAAAGAUUCAGAUUUUUUGUUGCCUCUAAUGAAUGAUUGGUGCAGAUAUGAUUUGUGUUUGUUUUGGUCGUGGCGGGGGUUGUAAUGUAUCCUGACUUUUCAUAUUCAGAUUUCUUAGUGGAGAUUUGAUUUUUGUGUCCAUUGUGUUGUUCAUGAUAUGUUGUGGAUCCGUCACUGUGCUUGCAAUGGUUUUUAGGUAGUGUUCAUUUGUUCCCUUAUGUGCUGUGAAACCAUUUAGGGGUAGUGGAUCUGUCUCUGUACCACCAUUUAGUUGCCCUAGCUGUUCAUUUUUUCUUGAAAAUGCUUUUAGGUACUGCCAAUCUGUUCACCAGGGAAUGUUUAUUUUGUUAUAUCUGAAGUGAUUUAGCUCCUGCAGUUGGUUUAUAUGGGGGUUUAAUGAUUUAAUUUAAUUUAUUUUUAUUCCUUUAAUGCUUGUUAUCAGGCAUGACUGUAGCAUAUUCUGCAUGAAGUUUAUGGAGUUGUUCAGUCGUCAAGUGCUGCUGCACGACAAGAUUUCUCAUAGGAACAUUUUCAAUUUUUGCGUCAAAAUUGCGAAUGGCAUGCUCAUUUCUUCAACUUAGUCCAUAAUGUAAAGGAAAUGGUUAUUCAGUUGUCUCAAUAGUUACUACUUUCUUAUCCGGAGUCUGGUUUUCUUUUUGCUUGUGCUUGAUUAUUCUAUCAUCUAGAAAUUGUUUAUUAUUCUUUUUUCCAUUUCUAUAGAUUGACUUGUCUAAGCAUCUAAGGGGGCGGGUUCCCAAUUGAACAUAAUCAUCAUCAUUUAGGCCUUAUUUAUCUGUCUAGAUAAUUUUGUAAUUAGCUUGAUCCAUGUUUGCUCUAAACAGUAUCUCUGAAUUUUGUAAGGAUAAUGAACAUAUGAAUGGCUCUGAAUGUCAAGUUUGUGUUGUCCAUCAAUUUUAGCAGCGGUACAUAAUCUUUUUGCAAUCCCAAUAUCAUCAGCUGCCAUUCGUAUCUUAAGAUCUAUUUUCCUUGCUUUUAAUAUCAAGUUAUGAGUUCCAUUUCCAGAUUGCAACGCCUUUGGGCGUUAAUUGCAGCAACUUUUCUAAUGCAACCACAGACAUACCUAGCUGCAGUUGUUAAUCAAAGAUCUUUUUUACUUGCUUCUCCUAAGCAGUCCUUCUUGCAUUGUCCUAGCUAUCUCUUUUCCAUUUUAAGGGUUAUGAUGGUGAUUGCUGCUUCACUUGCUAGCCACUUUUUUUCCACUGGAUUUUUCUUUUGCUUUUGCUCGGUUUUGGAGAAGCAAAAAGACAACAUCGUUGAGGUGGUUAUCGAUCUGUACUUGUCUGUGGCGAACUCUAGCUGA